rnacentral:rRNA from 1 species
AUUGAACGCUGGCGGCAGGCCUAACACAUGCAAGUCGAGCGGAUGAAGGGAGCUUGCUCCUGGAUUCAGCGGCGGACGGGUGAGUAAUGCCUAGGAAUCUGCCUGGUAGUGGGGGAUAACGUCCGGAAACGGGCGCUAAUACCGCAUACGUCCUGAGGGAGAAAGUGGGGGAGCUUCGGACCUCACGCUAUCAGAUGAGCCUAGGUCGGAUUAGCUAGUUGGUGGGGUAAAGGCCUACCAAGGCGACGAUCCGUAACUGGUCUGAGAGGAUGAUCAGUCACCCUGGAACUGAGACACGGUCCAGACUCCUACGGGAGGCCGCAGUGGGGAAUAUUGGACAAUGGGCGAAAGCCUGAUCCAGCCAUGCCGCGUGUGUGAAGAAGGUCUUCGGAUUGUAAAGCACUUUAAGUUGGGAGGAAGGGCAGUAAGUUAAUACCUUGCUGUUUUGACGUUACCAACAGAAUAAGCACCGGCUAACUUCGUG